UACGUAGGGUCCGAGCGUUGUCCGGAAUUAUUGGGCGUAAAGGGCUCGUAGGCGGUUUGUCGCGUCGGGAGUGAAACACGGGGCUUAACCCCGUGCCUGCUUCCGAUACGGGCAGACUAGAGGUAUGCAGGGGAGAACGGAAUUCCUGGUGUAGCGGUGAAAUGCGCAGAUAUCAGGAGGAACACCGGUGGCGAAGGCGGCCUGCUGGGCAGUAGCUGACACUGAGGCGCGACAGCGUGGGGAGCAAACAGG
rnacentral:rRNA from 1 species